rnacentral:rRNA from 1 species
CGCUAGCGAUAGGCCUAACACAUGCAAGUCGAGGGGCAGCAUAGGGUAGCAAUACUUUGAUGGCGACCGGCGCACGGGUGAGUAACGCGUAUGCAACCUACCUAUAACAGGGGAAUAAGCCCGGAGAAAUUCGGACUAAUACCGCAUAAAACAGGGGCUCCGCAUGGUGAUAUUUGUUAAAGAUUUAUCGGUUAUAGAUGGGCAUGCGUUCCAUUAGCCAGUUGGUGAGGUAACGGCUCACCAAAGCAACGAUGGAUAGGGGUUCUGAGAGGUUUGUCCCCCACACUGGAACUGAGACACGGACCAGACUCCUACGGGAGGCAGCAGUGAGGAAUAUUGGUCAAUGGGCGAGAGCCUGAACCAGCCAAAUCGCGUGAAGGAAGACUGCCUUAUGGGUUGUAAACUUCUUUUAUACAGGAAUAAAAAGAUUACGUGUAACUUAUUGCAAGUACAGUACGAAUAAGCAUCGGCUAACUCCGUGCCAGCAGCCGCGGUAAUACGGAGGAUGCGAGCGUUAUCCGGAUUUAUUGGGUUUAAAGGGUGCGCAGGCGGGAACUUAAGUCAGCGGUGAAAUCUCGACGCUUAACGUCGAAACUGCCGUUGAAACUGGGUUUCUUGAGUAUAGAUGAAGUAGGCGGAAUUCGUUGUGUAGCGGUGACAUGCUUAGAUAUAACGAGGAACUCCGAUUGCGUAGGCAGCUUACUAAGCUAUAACUGACGCUGAAGCACGAAAGCGUGGGGAUCAAACAGGAUUAGAUACCCUGGUAGUCCACGCCGUAAACGAUGAUUACUAGUUGUAUGCGAUAUACCGUAUGUGACUAAGCGAAAGCGAUAAGUAAUCCACCUGGGGAGUACGCCGGCAACGGUGAAACUCAAAGGAAUUGACGGGG